rnacentral:rRNA from 1 species
GACGAACGCUGGCGGCGUGCUUAACACAUGCAAGUCGAACGGGCCUUGUCCCCUUUUUUUUUGGGGGUGGGGUUAGUGGCGAACGGGUGAGUAACACGUGAGUAACCUGCCCCUCACUUCUGGAUAACCGCUUGAAAGGGUGGCUAAUACGGGGUGUUCUGGCCUGCUCGCAUGGGUGGGUUUGGAAAGAUUCGACCGGUUUUGGUUGUUUUGGUGGGGGAUGGGCUCGCGGCCUAUCAGCUUGUUGGUGGGGUGAUGGCCUGCCAAGGCUUUGACGGGUAGCCGGCCUGAGAGGGUGGGCGGUCACACUGGGACUGAGACACGGCCCAGACUCCUACGGGAGGCAGCAGUGGGGAAUAUUGCACAAUGGGCGCAAGCCUGAUGCAGCGACGCCGCGUGAGGGAUGGAGGCCUUCGGGUUGUGAACCUCUUUCGCCAGUGAAGAAGGUCCUGCUCCUUGUGGUGGGGUUGACGGUAGCUGGGUUAAUGAAGCGCCGGCUAACUACGUG